AUUGAACGCUGGCGGCAGGCCUAACACAUGCAAGUCGAGCGAGCGGCGGACGGGUGAGUAAUGUCUGGGGAUCUGCCCGAUGGAGGGGGAUAACUACUGGAAACGGUAGCUAAUACCGCAUACCAUCGGAUGUGCCCAUAUGGGAUUAGCUAGUAGGUGGGGUAAAGGCUCACCUAGGCGACGAUCCCUAGCUGGUCUGAGAGGAUGACCAGCCACACGGGGACUGAGACACGGCCCAGACUCCUACGGGAGGCAGCAGUGGGGAAUAUUGCACAAUGGGCGCAAGCCUGAUGCAGCCAUGCCGCGUGUAUGAAGAAGGCCUUAGGGUUGUAAAGUACUUUCAGCGGGGAGGCGUUACCCGCAGAAGAAGCACCGGCUAACUCCGUGCCAGCCGCCGCGGUAAUAC
rnacentral:rRNA from 1 species